CUUGGCCCAGUAAUUACAGUGGAAAAUAUUUUGUAAAAAUUUACAAAAAUUUAUGAAAAUUUAUGAAAAUUGUUAAAAAUUUACUAUAAAGGGCAAUAACUCAUUUAGGGGUCAAUUGACAAUUUUGGUCAUGUUGACUUAUUUGUAGAUUUUAUUUUGCUGAACAUUAUUGCUGUUUGCAGUUUAUCUCUAUCUAUAAUAAUAUUCAAG
rnacentral:lncRNA from 1 species